CUCAGAACGAACGCUGGUAGCGUGGAUUAGGCAUGCAAGUCGAACGGGAUCCGGAAGGUAGCAAUAUCGGCCGGUGAGAGUGGCGGACUGGGGAGGAGCACGUGAGCAACUUGCCCGAGGGACGGGGAAAACCGUUGGAAACGACGGCUAAUACCGGAUGCGGCGCGCGGGGGACAUCCCCCUUGCGCCAAAGGGGGCCGCAAGGCUCCCGCCCGCGGAGAGGCUCGCGCACCAUCAGCUAGUUGGCGGGGUGACGGCCCACCAAGGCGUACGGUUAGCUGGUCUGAGAGGAUGGCCAGCCCCACUGGGACUGAGACACUGCCCAGACUCCUACGGGAGGCUGCAGUCGAGGAUCAUUUGCAAUGGGCGAAAGCCUGACAAUGCGACGCUGCGUGGAGGAUGAAGGCCUUCGGGUUGUAAACUCCUGUCAUGGGGGAACAGGCGAGGGGAGUUAAUACCUCCCUUAGUUGAGUGUACCCCAAGAGGAAUUGGCGGCUAACUCUGUGCCAGCCGCCGC
rnacentral:rRNA from 1 species